GAAAUAAUAAAUUAAUUAAGCUUCUAACUUAUAUUAUAAAUGAAUAAAUUUCAUUUUUAUUUCA
rnacentral:tRNA from 1 species